rnacentral:rRNA from 1 species
CCUACGGGAGGCAGCAGUGGGGAAUAUUGCACAAUGGGGGAAACCCUGAUGCAGCGACGCCGCGUGAGUGAAGCCGUACUUCGUUAUGUAAAGCUCUAUCAGCAGGGAAGAAAAUGACGGUACCUGAGUAAGAAGCCCCGGCUAACUACGUGCAAGCAGCCGCGGUAAUACGUAAGGGGCAACCGUUAUCCGGAUUUACGGGGGUUUAUGGGAGCGUAGACGGGAGUGCAAGUCUGGAGUGAAAGGCGGGGGCUCAACCCCCGGACGGCGCUGGAAACUGUACGGCUGGAGUGCAGGAGAGGUAAGUGGAAUUCCGAGUGUAGCGGUGAAAUGCGUAGAUAUUAGGAGGAACACCAGUGGCGAAGGCGGCUUACUGGACUGUAACUGACGUUGAGGCUCGAAAGCGUGGGGAGCAAACAGGAUUAGAUACCCCAGUAGUC